CCCGAAGUCCUCAGCAUGGGCCCCCGAGGGGCCUGGGCGUAGUGAGCGAAGCGGAGUCCGACGCCCCUGGCAGCAGGGAGGCUGCAGCAGCCACUCGGCCUCCCCCGACACCCCCGACCUGGACGCCGCGGAAACACCCAAUGCAAACAGAUUUUCCAGGGGAUUUUCAAAAGGGGGAGGGUAGAGUGUCGGGAAGCUCAGCCCCUUCCCGGACAAGGGGACUGGCCGGGACAAAGUUGCUGCAGACCUCCCGAUGGUCCGACGGCGCAGGUGGCCGGUGCGGCGUGGACGGGUGACUGCCACCUACAGCGCUUCUCGCGCCAGCCUCGCGACCCCUCUCCUUCCACAGUGGAGCUGUCCCGCGCGACAGUUCUUCGCCCUGGGCAAGAAUGCCAGGAAAAAGCCAAACACGGCAGGAGAAAAAUAUUUUCCUGUACACCCACCCAGCUGUUAUAAACCCUGAGAGCCGGCCCCCACCCCCUGCAACUAGUUAGGGAAACUAGGCAGGCGUCGUGCCACCUUGCUUGCUCCCCCCGCACCCCAACACUCAGGGAAUCCUAGGUUUGCACCUCAAGCUCGUUAGAGAUCAGUCGCAAACCCAACACCUCUGCUGCCACCAGAAGACAACCUUCACCCCUACACCCCUGGGGAGGGGCCACGUGGGUCUCCGUGGGCAGGAGUCGUCCGGCAGCAGCAGCCUCCGUGGUGCAAGAGCUGCAAGGUGAUAAUGAAAUGGAGUCCACGUGUGCGUUCAACACCAGACCGUCUUCAGGCUUCUCAGGGAUUCCUGGGCGAACACAAGCCCCGCGCAGGCUCCUCCCUCCCCUGCUCGCCCAAGCCUCCGCGCGGUCCCCAACAGACAGCCGGGUCGUGUGUCAGGGCGGUGGUGGAGACCCGGAUGGCUCUUUGCCCGCCCCCAUCCCUCGCUCCACUCUCGCUCUGCUUUUGCUCUUUUUCUUUCUCCGUGGACGCUCAGCCAAGGGAUUGCGCAAGCUUCCUGCUCGCGGUCCUUCAAGAGCCCGUAGCCGGGGCCCAGACACACCCCAGCUUGACUCUGGAGGCGGAUAGAAAUAGGACAUCUCGCCCCGUCAAUAAAGAGGACCAAGUGUAAAUUCGGAGCCCUUGAGGAUCGAGGUGAGAUCGUAUUUGGAGUCCUUUCUGCUGAGGUUCUUGGGUGCCAGGGUCCCGGAGCUGGCUGCUCCUCGGUCCCGUUCCUCGUGCAUUCUUCAAGCUCUCUUUGGCACCCAGUCCUCAGCCUUCUCCCCGCCCUGUCCCUUUCCCUCCUCGCGCUCCGAAAUGCCAGGAGCCUGGAGGCGAGGCGGGGCCCGCAGGAGGGCGCGAGCUGCCCCUGCCCCAUUCCGCCCCCUGCUGGCGGGGCCCGCGCGUCCCGGGCCGCUGGUGACGCAAUUCGGUGCAACUGGGAGCGGCGGCGGAUGCUUCCGUGGCCCCCAGCAGGGGUCCCGGGGCCGUGAACACUGAGAACGAGCUGCGAGGGGGAGGCCCGGGCACCAGGCUGCGGGCGAGGGGUCGCUGCCGAGACCCUCCCGGGCUGUCAAGCUCUCCGCCCGCCUCCGCCCCGGCGGACACACCUCUCCUUCCCGGUCCCGCUCCCUCUCUGCAGCCUCCCUCUCCCAGGCUCGCCGAUCCCUCCCCCCUGCACCUCCCCGGCGCCCUCCCCUCUGCGUCCCCCACCCGCGCCCUUUCCUCCUCCCCC
rnacentral:lncRNA from 1 species